GACGAACGCUGGCGGCGCGCUUAACACAUGCAAGUCGAGCGAUGAAAUUUCGACAGAUCCCUUCGGGGUGAAGAUGAAAUGGAUUAGCGGCGGACGGGUGAGUAACACGUGAGUAACCUGCCUUUGACAUUGGGAUAGCCUCGGGAAACUGGGAUUAAUACCAAAUGACACUAACUGAUCACAUGAUCAAUUAGUCAAAGAAAUUCGGUCAAAGAUGGACUCGCGGCUGAUUAGCUAGUUGGUGAGGUAACGGCCCACCAAGGCGACGAUCAGUAGCCGGCCUGAGAGGGUGAUCGGCCACAUUGGAACUGAGACACGGUCCAAACUCCUACGGGAGGCAGCAGUGGGGAAUAUUGCACAAUGGGGGAAACCCUGAUGCAGCGACGCCGCGUGAGCGAAGAAGGCCUUCGGGUCGCAAAGCUCUUUUAUGAGGGAAGAUAAUGACGGUACCUCAAGAAAAAGCCCCGGCUAACUACGUG
rnacentral:rRNA from 1 species